rfam:Asian citrus Psyllid, Diaphorina citri - Florida Strain, whole genome shotgun sequence.
GCUUCGGUAGCGUAGUGGUCAAGACGCUCGCCUGGUAAACAGGAGGUCGUGGGUUCGAUCCCAGCCGAGGCA